ensembl:snoRNA small nucleolar RNA, H/ACA box 21B
GCCCUUCUGAAAAGCACUUGCUGGGUCUGCGUGCCGUGGCUCAGGGAGCUGUCGUGGAAGGGCACAGCAAAGGCACCGCUUUUGGGUGAAGUGGCAGCUCGUGCUGCUCGCUUCAAUCGGUGGUGUCACAUUG